rnacentral:lncRNA from 1 species
GAGAGAAACCAUACAAGUGUAAAGAAUGUGGAAAGGCCUUCCGCUUUCCGUCAUCACUAUCUGCACACAAGAAAAUUCAUACAGGAGAAAAACCCUACAAGUGUGACGUUUGUGGCAAGGCCUUUCAUUAUCCAUCGUUACUUUCUAAACACAAGAUAAUUCAUACAGGAGAAAAACCCUACAAGUGUGAAGUAUGUGGCCAGGCAUUCCAUGUUGCAUCAAAACUUUCUCAUCAUAAGAUAAUUCAUACAGGAGAAAAACCCUACAAGUGUGAAAUAUGUGGCAAGGCCUUUCAUUAUUCAUCAUUACUUUCUAAACACAAGAUAAUUCAUACAGGAAAAAAACCCUACAAGUGUGACAUAUGUGACAAAGCAUUCUAUUAUCCAUCAAGACUUUCUAGCCAUACAAAAAUGCAUACAGGAGAAAAACCAUACAAGUGUGAAGUCUGUGGAAAGGCCUUCUGUUCACCAUCAUCACUUUCUAAACACAAGAGAAUUCAUAAAGUAGAAAAAGCCUACAGUUGUGAAGUUUGUGGAAAGGUCUUCUGUAUUCCAUUACUAAACACAAGAGAAUUCAUCUAGGUGAGAGUCACUGUAAUAGUGAAAUAUGCAUGCGCCUUUGUUUAUCCUUCAAGACUUCCUAAA